UGAGGAAUAUUGGGCAAUGCCCGCAAGGGUGACCCAGCAACGCCGCGUGGAGGCUGAAUGUCGUAAGAUUGUAAACUCCUGUUAGAGGGGAAGAAUAGUACCGGUUGGACCGGUAUAUGACUGCACCCUCAGAGAAAGCCCCGGCUAACUACGUGCCAGCAGCCGCGGUAAUACGUAGGGGGCAAGCGUUGUCCGGAUUUACUGGGUGUAAAGGGCGCGCAGGCGGGAUAAAAAGUCAGUGGUGAAAUCCUACAGCUUAACUGUAGAACUGCCUUUGAUACUUUUAUUCUUGAGUUCGGGAGAGAGAGACGGAAUUCCAGGUGUAGUGGUGAAAUACGUAGAUAUCUGGAAGAACACCAGUUGCGAAGGCGGUCUCUUGGUCCGACACUGACGCUGAGGCGCGAAAGCGUGGGGAGCAAACA
rnacentral:rRNA from 1 species